rnacentral:rRNA from 1 species
UACGAAGGGGGCUAGCGUUGCUCGGAAUCACUGGGCGUAAAGGGUGCGUAGGCGGGUCUUUAAGUCAGGGGUGAAAUCCUGGAGCUCAACUCCAGAACUGCCUUUGAUACUGAGGAUCUUGAGUAUGGGAGAGGUGAGUGGAACUGCGAGUGUAGAGGUGAAAUUCAUAGAUAUUCGCAAGAACACCAGUGGCGAAGGCGGCUCACUGGCCCAUUACUGACGCUGAGGCACGAAAGCGUGGGGAGCAAACAGG